rfam:Triticum aestivum genome assembly, contig: Triticum_aestivum_CS42_TGACv1_scaffold_473900_6AL
AAAGUACUCCCUCCGUCCGAAAAUACUUGUCAUCAAAAUGGAUAAAAAGGAUAUAUCUAGAACUAAAAUACGUCUAGAUACAUCCCCUUUUCUUCAUUUUGAUGACAAAUAUUUCUGGGUGGAGGGAGUAUGAC